rnacentral:lncRNA from 1 species
AGCUGCAAAGCAGAAUGAAAAAUGGAGGGACAAGAUCAGAACCACAACCGAAGGCGUGUCGAGGGGGGGCACGGCGCAACCCAUAGCUAGCCAUUUCUACAUGCCAUGCCAACCCCAUAGCAGCACACAGUACUGCUUUUUAGACAUUAGGACAAGCAAACCUCAAGCAGUCACAUCCCAACUCACCAGUUCUUCGUGUCGUCAAACACGUUGCCCCAGCACACGCCAUCGUUGGCAGGCAGGCAGAAGUCCGACAGGGGGGUGUCGUUCUUCAGCUCCAGGCAGAUCUUGCCGCCAUUCGCCUGGUCCUUGCUCCAGUUCAGGGGGGUAGCCUUAACGGUCUGCUCGUCCACAGCGCCCCAGGUGGCGGACAGCCACUUGCCGGUGCCGGUCUUGGGCUGCACGUACACGCCGGUGAUGGCGCGGCGCUUCUUGUCGUCGGCGUAGAACUCGGCCUUGAGCAGGCUGGUGCUCCGGCCGCAGGGGCUGGUGGCGCUGUUGGGGGUCACCAGGGUGAUGCUGAAGCAGUAAGCAGUGGUGUCCUUGGUGCGGCCGGCCAUGCUCGACAUCGCGGGCGCAAUGGCGAAGGGGGUGGCGCCGGGAGUGGUGACGCACUGGCACUUGGGGAAGUCGGGGGUCUGCAGGGCGCAGGCGGCCGAGGCCUGGGCGUUGAUGCACGACUGGGGCAGGCCGGCGACGGCGUCGCCCAUGCCGCCAACAGAGACGACCACGGUGUAUCCGGCCAGGGCGGGGCGGCAGCCCUGAGUCACCAUGUCCAGCCAGAAGUUGAUCUGGGUGUCAACGAAGCUCUGCAGCUUGGCGCCCUCCUCGUUGGAGAAGAAGGUGGCGCACACCAUCACCAGGUUGCCGGCGCAGCUGGUGGACCCAGGGGUCACGGUCACGCCGAGGUCGGAGGCCUGGGUGGCCACGUCGUCCUGAAUGGUGGCGAUGUAGCCCUGGCACUCGUCGUUGCUGAUGGAGUAGGGGAACAGAACGCGGCUGGCGUCGCUAACGGUCAGCGAGAUGUAGACGCAAACCUGGCAAGGAGGAGGGGGGCUGGGGGGAGGAGGGCUCGGGAUGCCGGGCGUGGAGAUAGGGCAGCAGUCGUUCUGGCUGUCGAACAGCGCAGCCGAGCACACACCCUUGGGCAGGCCAGGGGGAGGAAUGCACAGCUCCUCAAGGGUGGUGCAGCCCUUGCCGUUCUUGUUCAUCGACAGGGUGAUGCAAAUCUCAGCACCGUCGCUGGCCAGGCCCAGGCCCAGCUGGGUCAGGACCAGGGUGGUCGAGCCAACGGGGCCAUCGGUGGGCUCGUGGAACGAGACACCGACCUUGGUGGGCACGCCGUUGAUGGUGGCCUUCACCACCUCGCCGAAGACGUCGCACGCCUCGUAGACGUUGAACUGUGUACAUCAAAAUGAGGAACAAACUCAGAGAACUUCUUGAAAAAAGAACUCACACUGUGGGUUGCUGGCUGCUGCGACUUUGAAACCGCGACCCGAUGCGCCGACAACCCACCUCGAUCUUCUUGAGGUCUGCCUUGGAGCAGCAGUAAUCGGUGCAGCCAGCCGGCACCUUGGCGCUCAGCUUGAAGCAGUACUGGUUGUUGCCCUUGGCAACGACAACAUCACCCAGCUUGUAGGCCGAGGGAGACUUCUUGCACUGGCAGUAAGGGAACGAGGUGUACAAGCCCGACUGAGCACCCUGGGCGGCCCUGCAGAUUCAGAACGAAGGGCACACGCGGCACGGAGUUACUGCCAGCGGAGCAAGCGGAGUCUCGGCGACGGGAUAGCCUGCUUGCAACUUGCUGUCAAAUCCGGUGGUGGCGCUACGAUCACUGUUACGCUAUGCUGAAAUCAUGAAAAUAGCCCGAGCAUGCUGUAAGAGCGCCGGUUGCAAGAAGGCCGACCGCAUUCAAGCUGCGCAGCGGACCCACACGACCACUAUUUACGCCGUGAGCGUAAAUGAUUAUCUUUGACUAGAGUCAGCGAUGCUCGUCUAUUCUACAACUCAGGAGCUUCCCGAAGCGACAAAUCUGUGAAACGCGCGGUCUUGCUACUCACGCAAUUGCGGCCGCGAAAAGAACGGAGACUAGAAUGCUGCACCUCAUUGUCACAGAGGUGGUUCAGCUAUAAAGAAAUUGUGAGGCACGCGGGCUUAUCAUGGGGGGCCCGGCUGGUCGAACGAGUCGUACGCCCGCCAUUAACCGCGGGCGCGUUAGUUUGGCGUGCGAUGCAAUCAUUCAUGCAACCGCGCCACUUCGACAGUGCCGGAAACAACUUUUAUUUUUGUGGGUAUGCAUCCGGCUAUUCGGUAGGACAGCAGCUGCGUUACGCUCAAACUCGGGCAAACAAUUGGGCUAGCGGCGUGAGCUUGCACCUCACAACUAUCAUCACACAAGUUAUUUAGAUACUGGCCUACCUUGGGCCAUCUCCAAAACUGCCUGUCCAGCCCGGGAGCGGCGGAGCUGUUUCGCCCGCGGUUUGGAGUGGCUUUACUCGUGCCGACGCAAGUCCUUGAUUUUUGCAUUAUAAAAAAAUUAUAGAGUACAGCUAUAGCAACCAACUUGGCAAUGGAGCUGCUGGCAUGGUCCAAACGCGGGAAGCUGGCGCCUUCUAGGCUCUUUGGAGCCCUGUCGGCUUCACAAGUGGCUGAUGCUCAAGUUGUGCAUCGCUUUGGCCGGACAAAUGUCUCCUAGUAACCCGGUUCACAAGCGAAGCGUGAAACGAAAGCAAAGGAUGCUGCGCGCCGGAAGCGAAACGUUCGAUGCACCUAAUUGGGCGCCAAGCGCGGAACCUUGCAGUCUCAGAUGCGUGUGUGCAUGGAAGGAGAAGGCUGGCGGAGGCGAGAGGAGCGGGGGCAGGGAUUGGCUUUCGUGGGGGGGGCGGGGCAAGUGGCGCGGGCGGGGCUGGGGGGGCGAAGAACGGUGAAGACCGGUGCGAUGGCACAGGGUAAGGGGCAGGUUGGCGUAGUCCCGAGUCCCGAGAAACAACUUACGCCCAACCCAGGCGCCAAUGAAACAGGUGAAGAGCUUGAGGACCCCCCUCCCGCUGUCCGGGCCUUACACACAAGCAGGCCAAGUGCGGGGGGAGCCGUAGCGCACACCAUAUACCGUACUGUCACUGUGCUCGAUUUCGUCGCUAGUGACGCCCCUGCUGGCUAGGGUAGCAAGGGUAAUGGGGGUGAACGAGCCGGUUGCUUAGGCUGUGCCAGCUUUCCCCGGGUUUCAUUGGGGUCACACACUUCACUGAUGCACAACUUUCAGAGCCAGGGGGCUGCAUCCUCCGGCAAGCAGACGCCAGGAGGGUGUCCCUGGCCGCAUGCGCUGGGUCCUGGAGUCUACGGUACGCGUUGCCGCACGCGUCGGUUGGCCAUCCAUUCCCCAUCCUUAGACACAAUGACUGUGUCAUGUGUGCACGUUGCGCUUUAGGCUCGGCCAGCGGCACCCUGGGUUGGGUGUGUGAUGGGUUGGGUCUCGGUUUGAGAGGUGUGACCCUUGCAGAAAGCAGGACUCUCCACACUCCCCUCCCGUGCUGUGCAUGUAUGUUCCUGCAUGCACGUGUGUGUAUGAAGUGAAUGGCUCAGCCAACGGCUGUGUGUGCAUGUGGCCCGCGUAAAAUGCAAUUUACCAGUGAUGGGCACUUCUAUCAGGGAGGGGUAGGAAACAAAGUGCCAGACCCCAUGCCCCGAAAUCCCCCGGGACCCCCCUUGAGGGGACGACCGACCCCCCGACGGACAAAACCUUGUUGUUCAGCGGUUAAAACCCCUCCAUUUAAUACCAAAGUAGUGUCAAUCGACUCCUCUUGACGAGCACUAUCACUCCGUGCCAUCAGCGGUCCUGUUCUGAGACUUCGGUCACGGGCGGGAUCCUAUCCAUGGAAAUCCCCUCGACCCAGACCACCCCGCGCUCAACUCUUUGCCGCGUGACGAAUGGACAAUGUGCAUCGGCAGCCUUGUUAGACGUGAACUCAUGCGCAUCAGCGCUUCAGAGCCCAGCUGUGUCAGUGCGCAUAUGUUGAAUGUGGAGACAUGUCCCGACAUGUCCACGUCCGGACGCGCAACUUAGCCCUCCCACGCUUUGUUUGUGCUUAUUACGUCAUAACGUACACAUAUGAGCCUCGCACUGCUGCGUUUGGCCCCUAGUUCUGCUUGUGGGGCGCUUCCCGAAAUCCGCCAGGAUGGGCUCCCGAAACCCGACGGACCCCCAGGGACGAGGACCGACCCCCAACUUUGGCGGCCCAGAACUUCCUCACCAGACCCCCCUUUAAAAAACUAAAAGUACGUGCAUAAUGCUCUCCUGAAGCUCUCUAAUAUUGAGCAUGGGGUAAGAACCUGAGCUUUCUAACCCCCCCCUGCCAUGGCGGCCACAAUGCCAAGAUGCUACCUGGCGGCGCCACGCACAGCAGAGCCCUGUGCUCCGCAAGGAUGCACACGUGCACACACGCACACACAUGUGCGAACACACGUGCACCUGCCCUCCAUGCCACUCGCCCCGCCCCUUCCCCCUUCCCUCACCUCAGUUAUGGCUGACUGGAUGCGGUUGAUCUCAAACAGCCGGCUGCGCCCCUCCUGGGAGCCGCCGCCGCCGCCGCCAGACAGGAGGUCUGGAGUGCGUGUGAGGAAGGGGAGGGGGGGGAUGUGCCCGAGCCCGAGGUCUCAAGCGUCAAGGAAUUGUUUCCAAACCAGGGGGAGGAAGCGGUAGGGGGGCGCGAAGUGUGAUGUUUGUCGGGGUAAGGUGUGAGGCAUUGGGCAUGGAGCGUAAGGCGGGCAUCAAGGCGGGUAGGGUGUCGGCCUGUGCGCUGUCACCCAAGCCACGGGCGCACCGUUAGCACGCACGCACGCGCACACGCUCACACUACGCACCUGCGGCCGCCUCCUGCCCCUUGCUGGUGGCGCCGCUCCCGCCGCCGCCCCCACCUGCACCCCCAGCAGCCGCCCCGCCCGGCACCGGAGCGCUCACCACCACCUGCGCCUCCGCCGCACCCUCCACCGCUGACUCUGCUCCUGCUCCCCCUCCUGCUGCGGAUGCUUCCGCUGGUAGCUGCACCACUGGCGUGUGCCGUGGAUGCGGUGGGUGCGGCGCCGCCAAGCCAGUCACCGCCGCCACCACCGGCGCCAGCGCCGCCGCCACGGCAGCCGCCGGCUCCCCUCCCGAAAUCCGCCAGACACCCCCUUAAAAAGUUAAAAGUACGUGCAUAAUGCUCUCCUAAAGCUCUGUAAUUUUGAGCAUGGGGUAAGAAACUGAGCUUUCUACCCCCCCCCUGCUUCUAUCAACCGGUUGUGCUUUCGGGGUUACAUGGAAGAGAUUAGGCUGGUGGGGCACAGUGGUGCACGGUGACAGAGACAGCCUUUCUUCCCUGUCUGGGUCAGGGGACAGGUUGUGCCGCCCUCGAGUCCGAAUCAAAUCGUUCUUUGCAGCAUCCCUCUUCAGGAUGCUGAGUGGAGUUGGUGUCGGUAGUAAAGGCCAAGCCCAACGCCCAUUGCGGCAGGGCCCAGGUGUGGGCGGAACGCCCGCCAAGAUGAGACACGAUGAGAGGCACGGCCGAUCGCGCCGAGUUAAGCCAUCACCACGCCCAGUGUUCCGGCCGGUUGUAACAGAUCAACUGUUACGAUCCCUGUUCGAGACAGGGCUGGGCCCUAACUUAUGCCUCUUACGAGUCUUCUAGUGAAUACGCGGUCACCCAAGUCUCAUCCGUUGGACAUCUCCAACCCCUUGCCAGGCUCUACAGUGAGUUAUGUCCGGGGUGGGCUAGGUACUGCUACCCCAGGGGAGAGCCUUCCCUGGCAGAGCCCAGGCCCUGCCGUAUUCCUUACCGGGUCGCACACCCACCGAAGUACCGAACCACGCGUCACGGUCUGGGAAUCAGCUGCACCCUACGGGACUUCACCAACCUGCCUUAACACUGUCCCAUACCACGCGUUACGUUUCUCCACGAUCCGCGGAACGGCGGAAACACGUAUUGACAUGUGUACACCCGCAAGGAGACCGCGGGUGGGUGAGAAUACUGCGCCUGCGCCUGAGAGCCCCGGGGCAAGCUGUCUCAUCCCCGAACGUAGAACUCAUAGAGUGCAGUCUGUGCAAAAGGGAAAGCGAGAUGCAAAGGACGAAGCAGGAGUCGUGUGACGCGUUAGCGUGGAUAAACGCCUGGCGGAUGAGAUCGGACAUGGCAACUUGGAAAUGGGCAGGUUGGUGUUAGUCCUGUGGACCUGAUAUACCCGAGCCGGUUGAGGGCCUCAUGUGCAAAACCGCCAGCGCCGGUCUGCUGGCCUUAUCUGGGUACACGCAGUACCGGUGCGGUAGCUGACGAUGCCAGCGUUAUUGACGAGUGUUGCGGAACUAAUGCGUACGUAGACCAGAGCGGAAGGCGGAGUGGGCUUGCAGGCGGCACGAGAGUAGGCAGUCAGUAGCGCAAGUUGCGAAUUCACAUGUUACCUCGUAACCGACGGUAAACGCUGCGGACGGUCGCGCCCAUGGCUGGCUGACGGAAGGUGGCUGCUGUAUUGGGAUGGCUGGGCUGGACGACGCCGGCCGGGCUGGCGUGCACGAUGUGCACAAACCGUUCCGCCUGCAGAUUGCAGAAAGCCCUGACGCCAGCUGCGCAUCCUGACGGAUGACACGUUGGGGGCUGUCACUCAGCUGCUGACUCGGGACCACCGUGCUGUCCCCUGCCGCAGUUACCGCCGCAGCCUGGCUGGCAUUCAACUUAUGUUGAAAAUUAUAUCAAUAUGACGCGUUCGUACUGUGCCCCCAAACCGGUUUACAGGGGCAACAGGCAAUAGCCCUGCGCACAAACUCCUGCUUCUCACCAGAGCUUUCGCCGUUAUGCACGGCCACGGGAACAAUGGUCCCGGCCAACCACAUCUAUGAACCGUGUCCGUUAGCCUCUCCUGAGGCUUGUAACCGGAACGCGGCUCCGCUGAUUGCAGUCCCAGGAUGACGCUAACCUAAGCAAACAGUCAAUGCGCAUGAUCAUUUACACACACGAGUGCUCUUAUGUACUGCCCAUAUUAAACACAGUCGAGUUGUGGAUCAGUUGCACGAUUCACCGCGCCAGCCCUCGCGGCGGUGCUUCACGCAAUCCGCAUUCAGCUGGUGGCGAGUCGCCAAGCCGCCCCCAACAAAACCCGCACCGCACCAAGUGCCAUGCCGUUUAGACACACGCGCACAACACUAAUCCUGCGAGGCAGUGAUCUCAUCUGUCACUUUGUCAACUACCCAAUCAAGCCAUUUUUCCGAACCCAAUUCAAAACACGCGCCCACGGGCGAAGCUGUGCGCCGUGGCUGUAGCGGCUGCUGCCUCUGCUGCCAACGCCUCACAAAAUCCACCCGUGGCCGUCUGCCACAUAAGCUCCAGCGGUCACCAGCUAUGCUCCGUGCCAGCUCGCGAUAUUGCCAGGCCGUGUGGCCGCAGCAGCUGUUUGCACAGCUGCCGCGAAGCAAGUCCGCUGCCACAAGAACUCAAACAGGGUGGGUCAGCCGCGCGGCUUCCAAGCGGCUUCCACCUUGUGUGUAUGGACACGCGACGCCUCGGCUGCUGCGGGCUGUGCCAUUUACGGCAGGCUCGCCUGGUACAGCGGGCAGCUGCGGGCAAGACACGGGAGGGGUGAGGAAUGGCGGUCAGAUACGUGACAACGUCGAGGCAGAUGUCCGCGGGGAAGUCCGUGGGCGAAGCCUAUUGAUUUAGAUCCCGCAAGACAACCCACAUUGGCAAGUACGUUGUUGCGAGCGUGUCAAUGCAAACCCAACUCACCAGUUCUUGCUGUCGUCGAACAAGUUGCCGUAGCACGAGCCGCCGGGCGCGGGCAGGCAGAAGUCCGACAGGGGGGUGUCGUUCUUCAGCUCCAGGCAGAUAGUACCGCCAUUCGCCUGGUCCUUGCUCCAGUUCAGGGGGGUAGCCUUGACGGUCUGCUCGUCCACAGCGCCCCAGGUGGCGGACAGCCACUUGCCGGUGCCGGUCUUGGGCUGCACGUACACGCCGGUGAUGGCGCGGCGCUUCUUGUCGUCGGCGUAGAACUCGGCCUUGAGCAGGCUGGUGCUCCGGCCGCAGGGGCUGGUGGCGCUGUUGGGGGUCACAAGGGUGAUGCUGAAGCAGUAAGAGGUGGUGUCCUUGGUGCGGCCGGCCAUAGUGGAAAUGACGGGCGUGAAGGCGAAGGGGGUGGCGCCGGGCGUGGUGACGCAAGCGCACUUGGGGAAGUCCACAGGCUCGGGGGCGCAGGCCUGGGACUGGAAGCCGCUCAGGCAAGACGCAUCCGGGGCCUGUGCGGAGCCGCCGAUGCCGCCGACGGCGGCGUAAGCGCUGUAGCCAGUCAGGAAGGCGGGGCAGCCCUGGACGCCGGUGAUCAGCUGCAGCCAGAAGGGCAGGCGCUCAUCGAUGAAGGGCUGCAGCUCGGCGCCCUGCUCCGAUGAGAAGAAGGUGGCGCACAGCUUGAUCACGUCGCCAGAGCAAACAGCCGGGGCGAAGUUGAUCGCGACGCCCAGGUUCUCGGCCUCGGUCUGGAGCUCGUCGCCGAUCAUAGCAGCGUAGUCGUCGCAGUCCUGCUGGGAGAACUCGUAAGGGAAGACAACGUUGCCGGUCUCAAGGAUGGAGAGGUACACGCAAGCCGUGCAGGGAGGAGGAGGAGACGGAGGAGGCGGGCUGGGGGGAGGAGGGCUCGGGAUGCCGGGCGUGGAGAUAGGGCAGCAGUCGUUCUGGCUGUCGAACAGCGCAGCCGAGCACACACCCUUGGGCAGGCCAGGGGGAGGAAUGCACAGCUCCUCAAGGGAGGUGCAGCCCUUGCCGUUCUUGUUCAGCGACAGGGUGAUGCAAAUCUCAGCACCGUCGCUGGCCAGGCCCAGGCCCAGCUGGGUCAGCACCAGAGUGGUGGAGCCGACGGGGCCAUCGAUGGGCUCGUGGAACGAGACACCAACCUUGGUGGGCACGCCGUUGAUGGUGGCCUUCACCACCUCGCCGAAGACGUCGCACGCCUCGUAGACGUUGAACUGUGGAGAAAGAAAACCAGAAGGGUGAGAAUGGUUUGGACAAGCACGCUAGCAGACGCCAGCAACUCUGCUAGCGACAAGCCGCGAGCGUCGGUUACUGUGAUGCUCUUCGACAUUCCCGCUCGACUUUCUGGCAUAGUCGCAACCACGUGCUUACCUCGAUCUUCUUCAGGUCCGCCUUGGUGCAGCAGUAGUCAGUGCAGCCAGCCGGCACCUUGGCGCUCAGCUUGAAGCAGUACUGGUUGUUGCCCUUGGCAACGACGACAUCACCCAGCUUGUAGGCCGAGGGAGACUUCUUGCACUGGCAGUAGGGGAACGAGGUGUACAAGCCCGACUGAGCACCCUGGGCGGCCCUGCAUUCCGAAGGCACAAGGGCAAAAGAUGUGUUGGUUCGCAUGUGUGCAUCGGCGUGCAGUCUUGAACCCAUGUGUGCAUGACGUCCUAGAGAAGAUGACACUGCCAUGUACUGAUCGAUUGCGCUCCAGGCUCCAUCAAAGGCCCGCCGGCCUAAGCUGGGGAAUGCUGGCGUGCUCCAGUGGCUGUCGAGCGUCCAGGAAAGGCUGAGCUGCCACCGUGAGCUGGGGAUGCUUUCACGUUAUGACCAACACAUCUGUCUGUGACAUACAUCAAGCUAGGGGCUGGAUCGCCUACGCCGCGACAAAAAUGGCGCGACUCCGAGAGAGCCAUCACAGACACUACUCACGCGAAUGCGGCAGCCACGAGAACGGCAACCAGCGAAUAGCUGGACCUCAUUGUUACAGAGGUCGUUCAGCUAAUUAUGGUGACCAUUUGCGCGCCGAGGGCUAUAAAUUCUGCUGGCCGAUUCCGUACGACGGCCCGCCCGCCGUCUGCCUCGACUUCGACUCGCCUCCUGGCACGCUCGACUGGCUUGCUGGCAUUGGUAACAGCCGAAUGCCGAUGCGAUUUAAUCACCAAGCCAAAAUCCACACGCAAUGUCAGCGGGCGGCGAGCGCCCACCAGGUUUUCGCGAUGAACAUGUUUUCGCGAGGCCAGUUUUACUAUAAUAUAAAACAAACUACAAGGUGUGAGCCAUCAAUAGCUUGAUCAAGGAAACACAGGAGUUGGUCGGCCGGAUUGCGGCCUGCCAUAAAUGGAAGGCAAUUUUAGGGUUGAGCCUUGUAACAAAACUGUUAGCAACAAACAGUUUCUACGCAUCUUAAGGGCCCUCUACAGGGCCCUUAAGAAUCGCGACAGCUUAUUCCUCUCAACGGUCGCUCGCUGCCUCUAGGGAUUCUGAGCCGGUCUCCUUUCUUAAAAGCAUUUGUAUCUAUACUGACUGUGGGUCUUCUAUAGACGACGGCCUGCUGUCCUGUACGCCAUUCAUAUGUUCUGGGUCUCUGCGGCCGGGAAGGGCCCGGGCAUACUCUCCUUAAUGGUCAAAGAUAAUGGGUAGACAACCGUCACCGUAAAACUCCAGCUUCGGGGCUGACUUCCGGCAAGGUAGUUAUUGGCGCGUCGAACAUCGUGCGGUCGACCUGACCGCGCUCGCUCGCCAGCCUGAAAAAGGACUACGUUUGUGGUGCUUAAUACAGCUUUCAUACGACAUGCUGUGCUGCCUCCAUCGCGUACUGCCAGCUGACAGUCUGAAGGGCAAACGACCAUGUUGUGGUUUUGGUGGCCGCGUGGCGCCCGUUCGCCUGCGCGCCCGCCCACCGCGCCCCCGGCCAAGCUUGAGUUUCUGUGGCAUCCUUGAACUGCAUGCCCCAACAGCUCACCUAAGUAGCUUCGGUUAGUCUGCAGGUGCCAAGACGCCUUCGCGGCACUUGGCGCAGCCGGGGCUGGCCGUGCCGUUGAACACCAGGGCCAGGGCUCCCCCUCCAGCUUCCCUGCGCCAGGGCUUUGGGGGCGCAUUUAAGUGGGCGGGUCCGCAAGUGGGUGGGUCUGCUGUGAAGCCCUUCAUGGGCUGAGUCCGCUUGUUGCCUUGCUCAACAAGGGCUGCCAGGUUUGGAGUGGCCGAGGGUAUGGGCCUUUGCAUGUAGUGUCACAAGGGUGUGACUACAGCACCCGAUGUGAAGAGUCUGACGCGGGAUUGGCCCGUCAGGCACGCCACGCACCGGCAGGCACGUGCGGGAGCUGGAGCUUCACAUGUUCAUUGUGGCAAUAUGCAGCUAGUUAUUUACAUAUUCUGCAAGGGGCACGUUCCGACUCCCAUGCUCCCAUAUGCAGUUGAGAAAUGCGUCUAACCUGACAGGCUCAGGUCUCAGCAUGACUGCGCGCAUGCUUUUACUGAAGUCCAAGCCACUGCUCCACACCACACGCAACGCCUCACGUUGAUGCCCUGUGCCGCGACAAAACUGAAGAGCUGCGCGCGCCAUCUAUCUCCCGCCGGGUUCACCCAUGCCAUCGGUGAGUGAUUAUCGCACUGCAGUGUAACAAGCGAUCCGCCAAAACCCCACUCCAUGAGUCAAGUUGGGCCCUGAUAGCAUGUGAUGGCUCGGCGUCUUCGGGUGCUGGGACUGUCCCCUCUGUAACAUCCGCAUUCAUGAGUCUGAUUCCGCUCAUUCAAUGCGAAUCUGACACAGUCCACACGCCAACAAAACCUUCUUCAUCAGAACUGCCCCCUAAAGCCUCAUGGUGCAAGAUGUGUGGUCCCCCCCGCAUGGGAAAAGUGGGCUGAGCCCACGCGACGUCUCUAGUCUGAGGCCGCAAGCGUCUACCUCACCUCCCUGACAUAGCCGGGGUCGGUUCGUACAGGCACGGCCCGCCAUGUGUCCAGCCACGUCCCGCUGCCAAGCAACAGCACAGCCAGCAAUCAACCAAACAGCAGGAAACCCUCUAACAUUCCUCACUGCCCCGGCCUACCACAUACUGCCCAGCCAUCCCAAUACAGCCGCCACCUUCUGUCAGCCAGCCAUGGGCGCGACCGUCCACAGCGUUUACCGUCGGUUACGAGGUAACAUGUGAAUUCGCAACUUGCGCUACUGACUGCCUACUCUCGUGCCGCCUGCAAGCCCACUCCGCCUUCCGCUCUGGUCCACGUACGCAUUAGUUCCGCAACACACGUCAAAUACUGUGCGGUGCUAUGCUCGCCAGCAAAGACCCUAACCAGACACCGGCCGACCUCAACCUGCGCGCCGGCGCCGGUGCCGCUUGUUGGGCGCCUCAAGGUGAAAACAACAACCCAAAGCGCAACUUACCGCGUAUACGCAUAGGAUGAAUAAGACCCGUAAGUUCAGAUCUCCACCUCAAACCUCACCAGCCCAGAGUUUGCUUGGCAUGCAUGAAGCAUUUCGACGCCCUUCCGACCGCUCCAGUACCCACAAAUCAAGUUGAAUGGGGUUUCUCCAGAGCAGCUGAGGCUGGCUAUGGGCAUGGGUUGACCAGCAGCCAGGUACAGAUAGAGAUCUUUUGCCUCAGCAGUUUGUACGACCAGACUGCAUGACGCCUGAUGACAAAGUCGUAUGCACGAAACCAAACUAACUGCGAACUGCGAUCCAAGUUGUAGGUAUCCGGAGUACCGUACCUGACCCGGAUACCACACUGUUCAUAUCGCGCAGGGGCCGAAGGGGUUGCGGAGCCAACCGCCACCGGUGCCAUGUGUGAUCCAGUCAUAACGCAUUUUAGUAGACUUGAAUAAAGCUUGUUGGCCUGUUUACCAUUAAUAUGGCAUGGUUCGGCCUUACGGAAAAUGCACAGCAAUGCUGAACACGCUGGGGUGGCAACCGUGGCGCAUGUACUGCGCAACAGCCCUAGCCUGCCCCCAGUAGCACUCGCAUGCCUGCGCCCGAACUCUUGCAUCGCACACCACACUCAACCGUGUAUUGUUGCAGCAACUCAAGUCCUCGUCACGCCCCACUUGGCCCUCAUUCGGGUCAGCAGUGAUGCAUACAAGUACAUGGUAGCGCUGUCGCUGCAACCUCCAGCGCUCGCAGCUUCCGGCGGCGGCACACGCUCCCGGCGGCGGUGGGAGUACGAAGGAGGGCACGGGCCCACGCCAGCCUUGCCGCCGGCAUGACUGGCCACUCCGCCAUGUCUGUCUGCGGCGCUACCCGCAGCUGCCCCUCAACCCUUACACAGGCGCCGUCGCUGCCACCGGCUCCGCAGCAAUAGCUCAAGGGGCAGACGCCGCUGCCGCCGCUGCCGCCGUGUCACCAGCCUCAGCGCCGCUGGCGGCGGCAGCCGCCCUCCCUGCCGGCGAUGCAUCUGUAGCACCCGCGCCACCGCCGCCGUAGCUACCGCCCGUGGCGGCGGCGGAGCCGGCAGAAGCGGUUGACGCCGGAUACAGCAACGGCAGCGUCACGCUCUCCGACGGUGCCAACACGGGCAGGACGCCGCCACCGCCGCCGCCGCCGCCGCCGGUGCCCACGAGCGAGAGGUGUGACGACGAUGCAAUCCCCAGACCCAGUGACGGCAUGAGGCCGGCGAAGCUGGGGGCCUGCGAUGAGAAGGACAGCAGCCCACCCACGCCCAGGCCCGUGCCGGCGCCGCUGACCUCGCCGCCCGCCGCCGCGGCGGCAGCGGCGGCGGCCGCAACCGCGGUGGCGGCGGCCGCCGAGACGCUGGUCGCCGUCGCUGCAACCGACACGCCCAUGGCCUCAGCUGCGCUGGCGAACGCUGGCAGGGCCCGCGGCCUUGCUGCGAAGGCGGAGGUGCUGCCGACGCCUGCGGCGCCUGUAGCGCCGGUAGCUGCUGCGGCUGCAUCGCCACCGUUGCCUCCGGUGCUGGCGUCAGAGGCAGGCGGCGCAGCCGGCGGCGGCGCGUGUGACGGGGCUGCAGGCGUUGGCGAAGCGGGAGCACCAGAAGGCGCGGCGGCCGCGGCGCGGCCGAGGGCGCGCAAAGGCGUUGGUGUGCCGCCGCCGAUGGCAGCGUACGGCAGUUGGUUGCUGCCUGUGCGGAUGGGCGGUGCUGGCGGCGACGGCGGAGCUCCCAUUGCCGCCGCGAGUCCUAGGUCCGGUGCGCUGUUGAGCGCCGCCGCCGCCGCCGGCGGCAGCAGCCCGUUAUGUGUGACCCCUGCCGCUGCCCCCGCUACCGCCGCCGAGCCCGCUUCCGACACCGUGUUCAGUCCUGCAGCCGCCGCCGCCGCCACCGCCUCUGCCGCCGCCUCUGCUGCCGCCCCCAUCUGUCUGAGCGCGCGGGGUGAUAGCGGUGAGCCCAGCAAUGACGGCGCUGGCGCCGCCGCUGCCGCUACCGUCGAUGCCUCAGCAGAUGCCAGCAUCACGCGCGAGCUGCUACUGCUUCCAGCACCGCCGCCGCCGUCGCCACCAACACUGCUGGCUGCUGCAACGUUCCUGCUACUGCCACUGCCCCCCGGAAACAAGCCGUGCGGCAGCGUCCCCGGCGGCACGGGGCUUCCCGGCGGCCCCGAGCCCGAGGCGACUGCCGCCGCGCCCUUGGCACUGCUGGCGCCGCUGCCGCCGCCGCCAGGGCUGACGCCGCCGCCGCCGCCGCCGCGCGGGCGGCUGGUAAUUCGUUUCAGCACUGGACCGCCGCCGCCAAGCAGCCCGCCCAACGCCCCCCCCAGUAGUACUGGCGGCGCCAUGCCAUCCUCAUCAUCCGAAUCGUCCAGGACCACAGCCGCCGGCGGCACCGCCAGUGACAGCGGCGGCGGCGGCUCCGCGCCGCCGCCACUGACCGCUCGCGCCAUGGCUAGACGCGACGCGCUGCUGCUGCCGCCUGGCUCGUGAACUGCGUCAGCAGGUCCCUCUUGUAACCAAUGCAAUCUGCCGCCGCCGCCGGCGCUCGUGCCAAUGCCGCCGGAACGCGCGGCGGCGGCGGUACUACGGCCGCUGCCGCUGCCGACGCUGCCUCGCGCGACGCGAACCGCUGCGUCCGUUGCCGCGCCUGCCUCCGCCGACUGCGCCACCCCCGCGGCGGCCGCCAGGCCGCCGCCGCCGCCGCCGCCCUCCGGCUGCGCCGGCGCAGCCGCCGGCUGCCGCGCCGCGGCGGCGGCGGCCUGCGCCAGCAGCGCCUGCUGCUGCUGCUGCUGCUGCUGCUUCCGGGCCUUCUUUGCCGCCAACAGGUCAUUCAGCAGCCGCGUCAGCACGUCCAGAGCGUCCAGGAAGCGCGGCCGGGCAGCGGGUGAGGCGGACAGGCAGGCGGUGGCGAGGUCGCGGUAGGCGGGCGGGCAGGCGGAGGGCUCGGCGGGCCAGGUGUAGAACUCGGCGGGCAGGUUGGGGAUGCGGCGGCGCAGCGGCAGGCGGCGGGCCACUGUGGAGCCGUGGAGCAGCUCCCACAGGAUCACGCCGAAAGAGUAGCUGCCGGGGGGAAAGGGGGGAGGAGCGGGAGGGAGGCUGGGGUUAGCCAUUCAUCCAAUCCCAACGGGGCACCAGUCCAAUGAAUCGCAGCCCGCUGUCGGCUUGGGCGUACAGCGUGUACUCCGCCCCUUCCCCCUGCCCCUUCCCCUGGCCGCUCUGUGCCCCAUCCCGUCCCCCUGCCGCUCCCUGCCCCCUGCCCCUUCCCCCUGCCCCUCCCCCUGCCGCUCCCUGCCUCCCGAGCACGCCCCCCUCCCCCUCCAGCCCCACCCACAGGUCUGAGGCGGUGGUGGCUCGGCCGUCCUCCACCAGCUCCGCGGCGAUGUAGAAGGGCGUGCCGCGGCUGCGGGGUGAGGCAGCGGUGCGGGGGGAGGGGGCUACAUUCAUGACUAAUUCAACAUGACAAGGGGUGUAAUUGGGUGUGCGGGUGAAGGCCGGAGUCCCCAACUGACACGUGUGAAGUAUGGGGGGGCGGGGUUGGGUGUGCGGGCGGCAUGUGGGGCCGGGCUCACGGGCUGGUGUGAGUGGCGUGUUGCAGGACUGGCGCGAGCGGCGGGAUCAGCAGCAGCAAAGGCAGGAAGGCGGACACGUCACACGCGCGCGCUGACCUCACUCGGGCCCCCAUGACCUCCGCCCCGCAACACCGCAAUCACUCCGUCUCGCAUGUUCGGCUACCCUUCCUCCGGCUGCCUCCUCCGUCUUGCGUGCACGGCUACCCCCGCCCACACCCCGCCCCCCACUCUCACCAACCUGUUCCUACUGCCCCAACCUCGCAGCCCCCCUCCCAUCACCCCCAUGGCCCCCGCCCCCCCCCCCAUCUCACCACUCCGGUCUCCACAUGAACGUCCCCCCUACUUGGUAACGACUUCGUCUGCAGCCUUCCGUGCCGCUCCUGUACCGCUUCUCCAAACAUCCUUGCAAUCCCCCCCCCGCCCUCACCGGAUGUUGCUGAUGUGGCUCUCUCCCGCCUUGAGUUUCAGCGCCAGUCCAAAGUCCGCAAUCUUGGCUGUGAAGCCGUACCCACUGGCGGCGUUGGAGCGAAGCAGGAUGUUGGCGGGCUUCUACGGAGGGCGGGAGGGGGCGGCGGAGGGGAGCUGUUGAUGUAAGGAACGUGAUGAUAAGAUAAUUAAUAGGUCACAAGUCAUGGUCACAAGUUUCAAAGUGCCCACGUCUAGUGGGAACAGGGGAUGGGGGAGCCGUUCAUGUGAAGGACGGAGUGGUUAGGUCACAAGUGUGAAGUGCCGACGUCCAGAGGGAACAAGGGGGGAAGGGAGGGAGGGUUGGAUGAUGGGAGUUGGUGGGAUGCUGUGGAGGGUGGGGUGAAAGCGAAGCAGGAGGAGGCAGCAGGGGUAGUGGGCGGAGCGGGACGCAGCUGCGUGGCGCGGUACGGAGCGGGAAUGGCACGGGCUGGGGGACAGAGAGGGAAGGAGGCGGAGGCGGGGGCGCGGAAGGGCGGGUUCCCAAGGGGCUGGCUGGGUGUUGGUUUCGUUUGGGGUUUACCUCAUCACACACACACAUGCACUCGCGCGCGCUCCGCACCAGGUCUCCGUGUAUGAUGCUGCGGGCGUGUAUGUAGCUCAUGCCGCUGGCCACCUCGAUGCCGAUGCGCAGCGCCGUCUCCAGGUCCGCCAGCCCGCUACUGCCGCCGCCGCCGCCGCCGCCGUCAGUGUGGGUCGCUGCGAAGCGGCCGCCGUCCAGCGCGUCCUUAAGCGUGCCGCCGUCGCAGUACUCCUGAGGGCGGGCGGAGGGGAGCGGACCGGUGGGUUACAUUCAUAAUUAGGUAAGGAAAUGGUAUAAGNNNNNNNNNNNNNNNNNNNNNNNNNNNNNNNNNNNNNNNNNNNNNNNNNNNNNNNNNNNNNNNNNNNNNNNNNNNNNNNNNNNNNNNNNNNNNNNNNNNNUGGAAAGUACAACACCCCUCCCCCCCUUACAACAUUUCUCCCCCCCUACAACACCCCUCCCCCCUUACAACACCCCUCCCCCCCGCACCUGCUCCUUGAAAGAGUUGCCUCCGCCUCCGCCGCCACCUCCGCCCCUCUCGCCUCCCUCGCCUCCCUCCCCGGCGCCGCCGCCGCCGCUGCCGCCCACAAAGGCCUGGAACAGCAGCGUCUUCACCGCCACCUCCAGCCCGCGCCACUCGCCUGCGAGACACACACACGCAUGCACACAUGGACAUGGUCACGUUCGUGCACAGUGCCAACCCUUCCCAACACACUCAGUCACAACACACGCCACGCAGGAGCCCAAGCCGCUUUGGAAGCAGCCCUCUACCCCCGCAACAGGUUGCUGUCUGUCCCUGCCCCCCUUGCUGCCCCCACCCCCCCAUCGGCCCUCGGCCCGGACGUCAGCCCUGCAAACCAUCACAUCCCAUCCUUCAGCCCCCCCUCCCUCCUUUCCCUACCCAUCCAUCCCCAUCGCUUCCUCUCCCCUGGCUGGUAUCUCGUCCUCGCUCCUUUGCAUUGCGUUCGGUUCAGUUUGAGCUGGUAUCUACAACCCCCCCUCUCCAGCCCCUCUCCAGCCCCCCACCCACCCUUGUAGACCACCCCGUGCGCGCCCGCUCCCAGCUGGCACGUGAUGCUGAUCUGCUGCUGCUGCGCCCCCAGCUCCGACUGAAACGCCGCAAGCGCCGCAUACAGCUCCGUGCGUGGAUUGCUGCUCGCAGCCGCAUCGCUGCCGCCGCCGCCGCCGCCGCCGCCAGUGCCGCCGGUGCCGCCAGUGCCAGUGCCCGCGCUGCGGCCGCUCAGGCUGCUGCCGGCGACGCUGCCGGGCUUUCCGGCGCCGCCGCUGCCGCCGCUGGCAACGCUGGUUCCAGAGACGCGCGGCUUGCGGCCAGUGGCGGCGGCGCCGCCGCCGCCACCGCCCUGUGGCGGGCGCUGCGCGCCGCCCGGUCCGGCGCCGCCGCUGAUGCCGCCGCUGCCACUGGCACUACCGGGUCCAGGCGAGCUCGCAGUGAGCGGAUUGCUGCCAGAGGCUACAGAGCCCGCGCCCACCUCGCUCCCCGGGGUCCGCCGCGUCCCCGCCGCCGCCGCCGCCGCCGCCGUCACGUCGCCAGCAGCGCCCGGCGGCGAUUGCAGCGCGCGCCGCCCCGACCGGGAUCUCUGCCGUUCACGUGACGUCGCCACCGCCGCCGCCGCCGCUAGCGUGACGCCCACGCCCGCCGCCACCGCGCCGGCGCCAUUGCCACUGCCGCCGUCGCCGCCGCCGCCACUCUCCAAGUCGAGGUGCGGCUCUAUUUCCGGGAAGGCACGUGACGCCGCGCUAGAUGGCAGGCCGCUGCCGCCGCCGGCGGGGCUGGCGGCGCCGCCGGUACGGUGGUUGUACGGCCCGUGCUCGGAUCCAACCACCGACCGUGGCGGUGACGUGGCUCCGGAUCCAGGUGUGGCGGCGCCGCCGGCUGACGCAGCCGCCGCUGCGGCGGCGGCGCGUUCCCGGUGCGAGCGCAGCAGUGGCGUUGGCGUCUGCGGGGGAGCGCCGGACGAUUGCGUUGUGUCAACAGGCAUCACCAUACCCGCCCUGCAUGCUGAACACACACACACACACACACACACACACACACACACGCGCACACACACACACCUAUACACACACACACACACACACACACACACACACACAUCAAAACACACGCAUACCCACGUGCUCGCCGCUGGUGCCGCCGCCGCACCUCCCGCGGCUGCUGCGCCCGCUGCCGCCGCCGCUGCGCCGCCCAGUGCCGCCCUUGUCACUGCCCACAAAGCUCCCGCCACCGCCGCCGCCGCCGCCCGCCGCCCGCUCCUGCGCCCGCCGCCGGGCGCGGCGGCGGUGCAGGAACACUAUGCCCGCCGCCACCGCCGCCGCCAGGGCAAUGAGGCCGGCGGCGGCGCCUACGGCGGGGCCAAUCACCGCCCCGAUGUCGGUUGAGGCGGGUGCCGCCGGCACAACCACCACAACCGCCGCGGGCUGGGCGGGCGGCGGCGGCGGCGCUGCGCCGCCGGCGAGGCCGCCGGCUCCUGCUGCGGUACGGCGAUGGUACGGUGGGUACGGUUAGACGAUUGGUACCGCAGGAGAUGUACCGUAACCUAGAGGCAUGUGUCCAGGAACUGAACACUGCCUGACGGUGUUGCACGGCCUUCGUACAGCUUCGUGAGGUCGAAUGCCGAACGGCCGACUGCACCACCGUACAACGACUCUGCAGCGUGUCCGCAGUUGGCUACUCAGGCACCCCACCAGUCGACCCAGGCACCCACCCGGUGGCGGGACAGCUUGUCCGAAGAUGGCUACCCAGGCAUCCCCCCCCUCGCUCAGUAGCCCCUCGCUCAAUAGCCCCUCGCUCAAUAGCCCCUCGCUCAAUAGCCCCUCGCUCAGUAGCCCCUCGCUCAGUAGCCCCUCGCUCUAUUGCAUUGGGUUCGGUUUAGUUUGGGCUGGUAUCUACACACACAUACACACACACACACGCACACACACACACACACACCAGCCGACCCAGGUACCCACCCGGCGGUGGCACAGCGGCCGUGGGUCCCCCUCCGCCACCGCCGCCGCCGCCUGGCCCCCCGGGCAGCGGCAGCAGCGGCGCGUUGGAGCCGGGCACGGAGGCGGCGGCGGGCGGCAGCGGGCUGGCACGUGGCGGGUCGGGCGGCGGCGGCGGCGGCGGAGGCCGCGGCGGCGGGGGCGGUUCUGUGGUGGACGGGUGGUGGGAGUGGGAGUGUGGAUGCAGGGGGCCCAAGGGGGACAGCUCGGCAGCGCGUGGGCACAUCCCACACACCGGAAUGCCUGAANNNNNNNNNNNNNNNNNNNNNNNNNNNNNNNNNNNNNNNNNNNNNNNNNNNNNNNNNNNNNNNNNNNNNNNNNNNNNNNNNNNNNNNNNNNNNNNNNNNNNNNNNNNNNNNNNNNNNNNNNNNNNNNNNNNNNNNNNNNNNNNNNNNNNNNNNNNNNNNNNNNNNNNNNNNNNNNNNNNNNNNNNNNNNNNNNNNNNNNNNNNNNNNNNNNNNNNNNNNNNNNNNNNNNNNNNNNNNNNNNNNNNNNNNNNNNNNNNNNNNNNNNNNNNNNNNNNNNNNNNNNNNNNNNNNNNNNNNNNNNNNNNNNNNNNNNNNNNNNNNNNNNNNNNNNNNNNNNNNNNNNNNNNNNNNNNNNNNNNNNNNNNNNNNNNNNNNNNNNNNNNNNNNNNNNNNNNNNNNNNNNNNNNNNNNNNNNNNNNNNNNNNNNNNNNNNNNNNNNNNNNNNNNNNNNNNNNNNNNNNNNNNNNNNNNNNNNNNNNNNNNNNNNNNNNNNNNNNNNNNNNNNNNNNNNNNNNNNNNNNNNNNNNNNNNNNNNNNNNNNNNNNNNNNNNNNNNNNNNNNNNNNNNNNNNNNNNNNNNNNNNNNNNNNNNNNNNNNNNNNNNNNNNNNNNNNNNNNNNNNNNNNNNNNNNNNNNNNNNNNNNNNNNNNNNNNNNNNNNNNNNNNNNNNNNNNNNNNNNNNNNNNNNNNNNNNNNNNNNNNNNNNNNNNNNNNNNNNNNNNNNNNNNNNNNNNNNNNNNNNNNNNNNNNNNNNNNNNNNNNNNNNNNNNNNNNNNNNNNNNNNNNNNNNNNNNNNNNNNNNNNNNNNNNNNNNNNNNNNNNNCACCCGCACACGCCGCCCACCUGCAGCGCCGCCGGCUGCGCGCCCGGCCGGCCUAGCCCCAGGUUCAUGAGUGACAGGAAGCGCAGCCGCAACACCGAGUAGGGCGGCACAGCCACCGCGCCUGUGUGUGAUUUAAAGAGCACAAAGAAAACAUUACGCGUAGGACUGUGUGUGCGUGUUGGGAGGGGGAUUCCAGGCACGAUUAGUCAGGAGAAGACGGCAAAGAAGGGUUAAAUGCAGGCGCCAGCACACAUAGGUUGGAUGAGGACAAACCGCAUGGAGGGGGAGUAGCCGUUCAUGGGGAACAGAGUGAUUGAACCAGUCAGCCCCCCAUCCCCGUGCCUGGUUAUCCCCAAUUUUGGGUUGGCAACGACUCCUUGGUUAUUGGGACCUAAUCCGUUGGGCUCGGGCACAUCAUUCCCCCCUUUUCUGCAUUGAGUUCGGUUUAGUUUGGGCUGAUAUCUACAAACGCCCCUGCCUGCCUGCCUGCUCACCGCUGAUGGCCUGCAGGCUGAGCGCCCGCACGGCUGUGGUCUGGCCGUCGCCCCAGAUGGUCAGGUUGGAACUGAGGGCCAGGCCGGCGGAGGGGGCGUACAGCUGGGCCUGAGGGGCAGAGGGGGGGAUUUCAAGGUUACAACAUUAGGGGGGCUACAUUCAUGAUUAGUUAAGGAAGUGGUAGACGGUAGAGCAUCUUGGGGAACAUCAAGGGGGGCCGGGGGUUCCAUGCAUGUCAAGUCAAGACGAGAUGAUGUUGGCAGGUUGUUUCAGAGGUGGGCGGGCGGGUUGGCGAUGCGCCGUUGGGGUGAAUCGGAGGUUGAAUCGGGAAGGUUGGGUUGGGAACGUCGAGCAGACCACCUCCGCCACACGCCCACGCCCACGCCCACAUGCCCCAUUCACACAUGCCGCCCGCCUCCUCAACCCCCCUGCCUGCCUGUGCUCCGCUCGUUCUCGUUGGUUUUGGGUUAGUUUGGGCUGGUAUUUACAACCCCCCCUUAAUUAAUCAUGAAUGUAACCCCCCCCCCCCCCACACACACACACACACACACACCUCCCUCCCCUCUGGCGCUGGACCUGUGGACGCAGUCGGUCAUCGGUACGCGCACCCCUGCGCCCGCUGUCUACUCCGCUACAUUUGCCUGUACCAAUCUUUACAAUCCCCACCCCCCAACCCCUUGACAGUCCCCACUCCUCACCCACACCCCCACCUGCAGUGUGUUGUCCCCCCGCAGCACCACCACGGAGGCGGCGGUGAAGGCGGUGGGGUCGAGCAGCAGGCUGGAGGCGCGGACCGAGGACAGCGGCACAGGGCCCACCUGCGGGGGGAGGAGAGAAAAGGGGAAGGAGGCGGGCGUGGAGGGCUACCGUGAUCCAAAACCCAACCCCGAUCCCCGGUGCCCCCACGCACCUCCCCAAUACCCUCCUCCCCAGCACCUGUCCCCCCCCCCAGCUCCUCCCCAAUACCCUCCUCCCCAGUAUCCUCCUCCCCAUUACCCUCCUCCCCCCCGCCCCCACCCCCGCCCCCACCCCCAAUCUCACCCCCAAUCCCACCCCCACCGCACCGUGCCGUACGGCGCCAGUGUGUCGAGCAGGUCCUGGCGAGAGGCGGCGGCGGUCAGGGGGGCCAGCGCCGCCAGCGGCGUGGCGGUUAUGCGGCAGUUGGUCCACGUCAUGCUGCCGUACAUCCACUCCCAGUACGGCACCUGCAGCGGCGGGCGGCGGCGGCGGCGGCGCAUGCGAAAAAAACAGUUGGGCGUUCAUGCCUGACUGCGCCUUCCCCUCCUGCACCCGGCACAGCGGACACGACAUCCUCCAACCCUCAAAACACACAGGCACAUACACACACACGCACACGCGUCUCCCCCACCUGGAUGCUGCCGUCCCCCGCCAGCGCCAGCCCAGGGCUGUACGACCGGAUGAGGCUGUCGACGCCCUCCAUACCGCCCGCCAGCGCGGCGCCAACCGCCGCCCGCCACCAGGCCAGCUCGCUAACCGACACAACAAACGUCACGUCGGUUGCCGUCAUGCGCAGCGGAGACUCCAGAGAUGCCAGCGGUUGCCUGGUUGGGACGAUAACGGUACGUUUGCGGGUGAGCGCACGCCGAAAACGCAAACGCUUACCACUCAAGUCCACUCCACCCACCCCACCCCGUCCACCUCCUACAAAGCCCACAAUCCAAACCCUGCAAACCCCUCCCCCUCAUUCCAUACUACGGUACCUCCGUUUAUCCACUCCUCCUUGGCUGCCCACCCCCACAGCCACCCCACCCCAUCCCCGCAACCCCACCCCUACCCACCCCACCCGCACACACAACCCCACCCCACCCCACCCCACCCCACCCCACCCGCACACACAACCCCAACCCACCCCACCCCGCACCCCCACCCCACCCCACCCCGCACCCCGACCCCAUCCCCGCACCCCCACCCCACCCCGCAUCCCGCACGCCCAGCCCACCUCUUGAAGUCCAGCAGCCACAGUGCCGCCGUCACCAGCGCCGCCGGGUACUGCGCCGCCGGCCCCAGCGCCAGGCCCGCCACCGUCAGCCGCCGCAGCUCCAGUCGGUUGGCGUCGCCGUCGCCCGCCACCUGAUGGCCGGGAGGGGAGAGGGAGGGGGGAGGGGGAUGUCCGGAAGGGGAGAGGGAAGGGGUGACACUCAUGCUUGUUUAUGAAGUGACGGCGUAGCCAGGGGGGAGGGGGGAUGUUCGGAAGUCUCGGGGGGAGAGGGAGGGGAGGCAUCCCAAACCCAACCAACCCAAGGGGGGUUCCAGUCACACCAGUCCGAAGGGCCGACGGGGCCGGGGUUACGGCGAUCAGGGGAGCCGCAGGAGUGGUGGCACGGUACGACAGUACAGCACGGCACGGUGUGUUUGGACGCGGUGCGGUAGGGUUCGAUGAUGUUCAGCAAUGUAGUGCACAAAGCAGGCAUCCCGUACACACACACACACACACACACACACACGCGCGCGCGCGCCGUACACAGAUACACACACGCGCGCGCUCCCCUCUCUCACCACCAUGAUUCCCGCCAGCUGCCGCAGGUCCACCUGCACCGCCGCGUCGGGCGGGCCUGCGCGGGGGGGGGUACAUUCAUGAUUAGUAUAGGAAGUGAAGUCGUAGGCAGGUGCAGUCGCAUAGUAGACGGGCGGGGGGAAGAGGAGGGACAGGCGGGACAGGCGGGGCAACCGGACCGGACAGGCGGUCAGGGUGAAGUGCGGAGGAGCUUGAAACAACACCGAUACCGUCUGUGACACACCCGUGCAGUCGGGCACGGACGUAUGAUGGCACAAACCCAGCAGUUCCGCCUGUGUGGCGCCGCGCGUUCCCCCCUCCUCCCCCUCCUCCUCCCCCUCCUCCUCCCCCUCCUCCUCCCCCUCCUCCUCCCCCUCCUCCCCCUCCACCCUCCUCCUCCACCCCUCCCCCUCGCCCCCCUCCUUCCCCCACUCCUCCAACCCCCUCACCCGCUAUGACGGUGCGGUUCACGGCCGACAACGUGCCGGCUCGCAUAUAGCUGGUGUCGGCACUGAUGUUGGCGCCCACCAUCGCAUACAGCGACCCAAGGGACAGCAGCGGGUUGAUGCGCGCCAGGGAGCGGGCCAGCUGCUCGCCGCUGCCCACGUAGGAGGCCACGCAGGGCAGGUACAUGGGCUGCAGGGCGG